UACGUAGGGGGCUAGCGUUGCUCGGAAUCACUGGGCGUAAAGCGCACGUAGGCGGCUUUCUAAGUCAGGGGUGAAAUCCCGAGGCUCAACCUCGGAACUGCCUUUGAUACUGCAAAUCUCGAGUCCGGAAGAGGUGAGUGGAAUUCCUAGUGUAGAGGUGAAAUUCGUAGAUAUUAGGAAGAACACCAGUGGCGAAGGCGGCUCACUGGUCCGGUACUGACGCUGAGGUGCGAAAGCGUGGGGAGCAAACAGG
rnacentral:rRNA from 1 species